GUCCUUGCCGUAAACGAUGUGGAUUAGGUGUCAGGGGUGUCGAUCCCUCUGGUGCCGACGCUAACGCAUUAAAUCCACCACCUGGGGAGUACGGUCGCAAGACUGAAACUCAAAGAAAUUGACGGGGACCCGCACAAGCGGUGGAGCAUGUGGUUUAAUUCGAGGCUACGCGAAGAACCUUACCCAGGCUUGACAUGUAGUUGACUGUGAAUGAAAGUUCAUUUUCCCGCAAGGGACAAUUACACAGGUGCUGCAUGGCUGUCGU
rnacentral:rRNA from 1 species